AUGGCAUCUCUGGUGGGGACCAAGGUGACAUCUCGUAUCAUGUAUUAUUAUAACUAGUUUCUGAGACUUCAAAAUGCACAGUUUCGUAGUAUGUAGUGACGAAUUUAUAAUGGACUGUUUCAUCACGAUAAAUAAACGGAUCAUUUGCUUGAUCUCCUAGUAGGAGGUAAUUUUAUAUUUAGGUGGCACUAAGAGCUCAAAAUCACCAGCUAACGCGCCUACGAGUCGAAGACGAAAUGCAAAUAAAACAAGUAGUUGUUUAUGACAUGAAAGAAACAUGACUGUUCAUAACAUAAUAGAAUUGCAAUUUACCUUUAUCGUUCAACCAGACGGCCAGCUUGUAGUACGCCUCAUCCAUGAGUGUGAUGGCACCAGCUAGAAGGACCUUCGGUAUUACACUCAGGCAACUGAAAAUACCCUGCUCGGGCAGUUUUUCAUCCC